rnacentral:miRNA from 1 species
UUUAGGUUGGUGCAAAAGUAAUUGUGGAUUUGGCCAUUAAAAGUAUGACAAAAACCUCAAUUACUUUUUCACCAACCUAAUAAUA